rnacentral:rRNA from 1 species
GAAGUCGGAAUUGCUGUAAUGGCAGGUCAGCAUACUGCCGUGAAUACGUUCCCGGGCCCUUGUACACACCGCCCGUCACACCAUGAGAGCUGGAGAUACCCGAAGCCUGUGAGCUAACUUUUAGAGGCAGCAGUCGAAGGUAGAAUCAAUGAUUGGGGUGAAGUCGUAACAAGGUAUC